rnacentral:rRNA from 1 species
GAGUUUGAUCCUGGCUCAGGAUGAACGCUGGCGGCGUGCCUAACACAUGCAAGUCGAACGGAAUUUACAUGAAGCCUAGCGAUUGUAAAUUUAGUGGCGGACGGGUGAGUAACGCGUGGGUAACCUGCCUUGUACUGGGGGACAACAGUUGGAAACGACUGCUAAUACCGCAUAAGCGCACAGCUUCGCAUGAAGCAGUGUGAAAAACUCCGGUGGUACAAGAUGGACCCGCGUCUGAUUAGCUGGUUGGUGAGGUAACGGCCCACCAAGGCGACGAUCAGUAGCCGGCCUGAGAGGGUGAACGGCCACAUUGGGACUGAGACACGGCCCAAACUCCUACGGGAGGCAGCAGUGGGGAAUAUUGCACAAUGGGGGAAACCCUGAUGCAGCAACGCCGCGUGAGUGAAGAAGUAUUUCGGUAUGUAAAGCUCUAUCAGCAGGAAAGAAAAUGACGGUACCUGACUAAGAAGCCCCGGCUAACUACGUGCCAGCAGCCGCGGUAAUAC